UCCCAGGCGUAAUCGCCGCUUUCGCCAGCCAUCAUGGUCAUCCCCUUUCACUGAGGAAUGGUACCGAUUACUUUUGCUCCAUUGUCAGAGGUUUUGCAACUGCGACCACAAAAGCUUUCCUCCCGAAGAAGAAGCCACCACCGAGCGGAAGCAUAACGAACUCCGUGGUCCGCAUUCCGACUACCAUGUAAGUCCACUUGAGGGGCUUCGCGAGCAUCGGUGGUGGUUCUUAGAUAAACCAGCGUUAUUUGUAAUCGACUGUGGAGCUUCCUAAUUUGGAAUUAGCAACUCGAGUGCUGGCAUCCGACCGUUGCUGUCUGCAUCCUACCGUUGGACAGACGACGCUCUCCUCAACAUCUCCAACACCUACCUCGACGAUUUCGACGUCGAGAUUCUCGUUCUGAUGAUUCGCCCCCUGUCGCUACUAUCCUGUAUCGAUUUUCGUGCCAUUCUGUGUCGGAGAUACGUUGUGAACAGGUUUUCGCUUCGUUUACAUUGGAAUAGCGGAGAGGUUGGACGGUCAGGUAGAGGCGUUAUUUGUAAAUUGGUUGGCUUUGGUGUGCGGACGCCUUCUGAGAUCUGCAUUUCUAGGCUUGGUGGUUCGCUCUUGCGUGCUUCCCUUUGCCUCUGGUAAUUAAAUCAAAAGACGCACGCUUCAAUCGCAUUUUGUUUAGAGGUUGCACACGUAGUGUUGCUGUUUCGUAGAGUGAAGCGUUCAAUGAGCGUGGAUUGAAACGGUGAUGUUGUCCAUGAGAGCACCCAUGCAGCUCCACGAUAUUGGCGGAGCAUCGAAAAAAUCUGUAUGAAGAUUUGAGUACGUACUUUGUGGGAAGUGGAAUUUAGAUUGUCUUGAGGUACAGGAAUUUUUAAUAUGAAGUACUUACUUCAAGGCAGUCCCAAAUCAGCUUGCUUGUCGAUGGAGGAGAGGAGUUGCCAUUUUUUGCAUCGAACGGGGGGAGAAUACUAGAGCGAGUUGAGAAUCCCUCUGCUUGCGGGAAUUCAGAUCGCCAUUAUCCUUGCGAACCUCUGGUCCAUACUCUCUCAGAACUUAGUCGGGAAAGAGAAUGGGCAGGUACGAUGAAGACACUGUAAUGAGCAUGUCGGCAGAGUUAGACAAUGUUAUGCUGGAAAUUGUCUGUCAUAUGAUGGAACCGUGUCCCUGUGAGGAUUUUUGGAAGGCCAAGUUUGAGGAAGCAGUGGAUUCUCAACGGCAACUCCAGGAGCAUGUCCACGUGCUUCUCCGCCGUCUUGAGGAGGCAGAUUUUAGAUGUUUGAAGGCCAGGGAGGAGGCAGCUCUUAAUUCGCAAGCGUUGAAAAAGCAAGUGGCUGAGACACAGAGACUUGCGGCUGAAUGUAAGUCGUUGACCCUGGAUUGCGAGUCACUGACUCAAGAAUGUUCGCGCUUAGAAAAUGAAUGUCAUCUGUACCAUAAUGAUCGGGAAGUGUUCAUGGAAGCUGCCGACGAGGCCGAGGAACGGGCAGCUCAAGCUGAGGAAAGUGCUGAUGUGGCUAAUCGAAGGGUAGAAGAAUUACUGCAAGAACUCGAAAGUUGCAGAGAUUACACAUCAGCCGUAUUUCCUUCAUCAACACAGAAUGUUAUAAUGCAGAAUGUACCUGCCUUGAGAAAAAGGGUUACAGAGUUGGAAAUUCAAUUCCACAAGCUUCAAGACGAGGCAGUUCGGUCCUGUCUUGAUGUUGAUACUAAAGAAGGCCAUGAUCUACUGAAGGAGCAAAACUCACACCUAUCCGAAGUUAUUCAGUGGUACGAAGUAACUAAAGCAGAGCUCAAAAGAUUACAAGGAGCUUUUUCGACAAUGGAAAAGGCCAGGGACGAGAUGAUUGUGUCCAACAUGGUGUCAUCUGCCAUCUCGGCCGGAGUGGUCAAGGCACUAGAGCAAGACAGAGACGAAGCCGUUUCAUCCCUCAACCUACAAUUCAAGGCCAUCUUGAAACGCAUGCAAGGAGAAUUCCGUUCUAGUCGUGAGAGGCUUUUGAAGAAAUGGACUGAAGGCGAGGGGGGUCGUGAUAGGAUGAAGGCGGCCGAGAAAGGUUUGAGGUCAUUGCUCAUGGAGGUAGACGCCUUGAGGCAAGAAAUCGUAAUCUACAAGGGCAAUCUUGAGAAAGCUCAGGACAAGAUCCACAUGUUAGCAGAAGAAAACGAGGCGCUUCGAUUGCUACUGAAGGUCAAAUGCAAUUCGUGUCUGGAAUACAGAGGAGUAAGAGUGAGUUCAUAAUAGAUGGAAAGCUUCGGGAUCUACUUACAAGGGACGUUUACGACAAUCCAGCAUUAGUCGCUGCAGGAGCUGCGCCGAGCAAAUUUAAUCCGCCUCGCCUUUCUUCUGGUACGCAUGGGUUUCGUCCAGAAGACAUCGAUUGCGAGGCGACUAUUGAGCUAGCAUCACGUUGUUGCAUUAUGUAAGAAUACUACGUACUUGUCCUGCCCAGAUGCCAAGUUCAUUGUCCUAGUUUUGUUCGAUGAAGGAGUCUGUAUGCGAGGAUUAGCUUUUCCCUGGCGAGCAUUGCCCGUGCCACUAUUAUAUAAUGACCCUGCGAAGCACAGGCCGCCAGGGGAAGUUUUAUCUGUAACAUGUCACUUUCUUCUACAUGUAGCGUAGAUAUGUUCCUAUCCCUGCCACAGAACCUUAGGGUGAUUGUGUAACUACCUCCGCUACACUGCACUCUACCGCAUGUUCUAAUAGAAGAACGUGUGUACUUGACCAAAUGUACUCGAUCACGACAAUAAAAAUGUCUUAAAUAAACAGCGCUACUCCAAUUUCUA